UGCAGUCGAGGGGUAUUGGUUUUCGGACCAGAGACCGGCGCACGGGUGCGUAACGCGUAUGCAAUCUACCUUUCACAGAGGGAUAGCCCAGAGAAAUUUGGAUUAAUACCUCAUAGUAUGCAGAGUUGGCAUCAAUCCUGCAUUAAAGUCACAACGGUGAAAGAUGAGCAUGCGUCCCAUUAGCUAGUUGGUAAGGUAACGGCUUACCAAGGCUACGAUGGGUGGGGGUCCUGAGAGGGAGAUCCCCCACACUGGUACUGAGACACGGACCAGACUCCUACGGGAGGCAGCAGUGAGGAAUAUUGGACAAUGGGCGCAAGCCUGAUCCAGCCAUGCCGCGUGCAGGAUGACGGUCCUAUGGAUUGUAAACUGCUUUUGUACGAGAAGAAACACUCCUUCGUGAAGGAGCUUGACGGUAUCGUAAGAAUAAGGAUCGGCUAACUCCGUGCCAGCAGCCGCGGUAAUACGGAGGAUCCAAGCGUUAUCCGGAAUCAUUGGGUUUAAAGGGUCCGUAGGCGGUUUAGUAAGUCAGUGGUGAAAGCCCAUCGCUCAACGGUGGAACGGCCAUUGAUACUGCUAGACUUGAAUUAUUAGGAAGUAACUAGAAUAUGUAGUGUAGCGGUGAAAUGCUUAGAGAUUACAUGGAAUACCAAUUGCGAAGGCAGGUUACUACUAAUGGAUUGACGCUGAUGGACGAAAGCGUGGGUAGCGAACAGGAUUAGAUACCCUGGUAGUCCACGCCGUAAACGAUGGAUACUAGCUGUUGGGAGCGAUCUCAGUGGCUAAGCGAAAGUGAUAAGUAUCCCACCUGGGGAGUACGUUCGCAAGA
rnacentral:rRNA from 1 species